rnacentral:tRNA from 1 species
ACCUCGGUAGUGUAAGCUGCAACAAAGUAGACCGAAAAUCUGUAGAUGUGGGUUCAAGUCCCUUCCAAAGUU